UCAAAUGUGAUGUUUAUCAUAAUUCAUGAAAAGUGUAUCUUGAAGAUUCAUCCACUUCAAAGUGUCAGAGUCCGAACACAAAUCUAGAAUUCAAAUGCGAUCUUUCUAGAUUUGUGUUCGGACUCUGACACUUUGAAGUGGAUGAAUCUUCAAGAUACACUUUUCCUGAAUUAUGAUAAACAUCGCAUUUGA